GGUACACUAAUAAAUAGUAAUUAAUUCCGCUCCCCCUUCCUAACGGGCAAGAUGCGCUAAUUAAUCCCAUUUAUUAUGAAAAGAAUUGCCAAGAAUAAUCGUUGUUAUAUAAAAUUAAACCCAACGCAUCAAGGAAGGGGAUGUAGCUCAGAUGGUAGAGCGCUCGCUUAGCAUGCGAGAGGAAAGCUUUGAGUAAUGCUUGACCACAUGGAGUUGGAAAAAUCCGUUCUUGUGGAAUUCCAUGAUCAGGGGCUACGCUUGUACCGUGAAAUGUCUUUGAGGUUCGGUCGAAAGGCGGGUAAGUUCGCUUACCCUUUUGUCCUGAGGGCGUGCGGUGAUCUGUCGUUUGUCGAAAUCGGGAAAAGAGUUCGUGGCCAGAUAGUGCUUAGCUGGUUGGAGUCCGAUAUUUAUGUGGGUAUUUCUUUGCUCGCCAUGCAUCUAAGGUUUGGGGAUAUUGAGGAUGCUGCGAGGGUGGUGUUUGACAGAAUGCGUGAAAGAGUCUUGACUUCUUGGAGUACGGUGAUUUUUGGGUUAUGCAAUGACUGGCAAAGCGGAAGAGGUUUUGUUGGUUUUCCAAGAUGGACAAUUUCUUUUCUGCAAUGAUUUCUGCAAUGAUGGAAGAAGGUAUUACUCCAGAUGGGGGUCUAUUUUCUUUGGUUUUGUCUGCAUGGAGCCAUGCAGUUUUAGUUGAUGAUGGCAAAGAAAUAUUUUAGGAAAUGGAAAAGCAAUACAAAGUCAAGCCUAGAGUUACACACUUUACACGUCUGGUGGAUCUUCUUGGCCGGGUAGGGAAAUUAGAGGAAGCAUACAAACUGAUCGAGACUCUGGAAUUGGAAGCCUGCAGGUGGAAUAGAAAUAUUGAGCUGGCUGAAAUCUCCUGCUCAGAAAUUGUUUUCUAUUGAUCCUGGUGAUGUGGGUGGAUAUAUGUCUUUCAAACAUAUAUGCCACUGAGAGUAGAUGGCAUGAUGUUGAAAGAGUAACUCAUGAUGAGAGGUCAUGGUUUGAGAAAACGGACAGGAUACAGUUUUACUGAAGUGGAUAAGAUGGUCCAUCACUUCUUGGUUGGAGAUAGGUCAAAUGAACAGUCAGAACAUAUAUAUGCCAAGUUGAAGGAAUUGAAUGGUGAAUUGAAGAAGGCUUAAUAUAAACCUCAUACAGGUUCAGUGUUUUAUGAUGUGGAGGAAGAAGUCAGGGAGAAAAUGUUCUGGUAUCACAAUGAAAAGUUGGCCAUUGCUUUUGCUCUUAUAAACACAGAUCCAGGGACCAUUAUUAGGAUAACCAAGAAUUUUCGUGUUUGUGGGGAUUGCCACACUAUCAAAAUUUAUUUCAGAACUCAUAGUUCAUGAGAUCAUUACGUAGGAUAUUUGUAGUUCACCAUUUUAAAGAAGGAAAUUUUUCUUGUGGCAAUUAAUGGUGAGAAAUAAGUUUAGACGCAUUUAUUUGUAUAGGAGCAAAAAGUGGAGAGCAGCAGCGUUACUCCUACAGGAUCUGAUUUGCCAUGAAAGGACGUUCUGUGAUCUUUGGAGAUUUCUGUGCCUCAGUGGGCAUUAUUGUACUGCUAUUCACUCUGUCAUUCUCGGGUCUCCUCACUUCAAAAUAGAGGUGAUUUUUUCUAUGAAUUUGUCGAAGAAAUCAGCAAGUGCACCACCAACGCUCAUGUCUGUCUCUUUAUCCCAUGGGAAUGGCUUCAUUGGUUCAGUUGCUUCUAGCAAAUCUUCAAUUGAAAGCUUUGGAUUUGAACGCUCUAGUGGAUCUAAACAUUGGCCAUACUUUCUUGAGUCCGCACAGUGGUCCUGGACCAAAAAAAGAGUGUUUGGACAUCUCAAUAAAGAUUUGUACAGAGAUUUCGUGAGGGUUUUCUUUACCUGAUCGGCAUGCAUUUUUUUCACAAAUGUCUUGAAUAUCUUGAAGUUGUUUCCGUUGAGUAAAUUGUCUGAUAAACGAAGGUAUGUUAUUCCAUACAUUUUCAGCUUUGGUGGGCCAUCUCUAUUGACCCCAUUGGGCCUAGCAUUUAGAAGUAUCUGAUUGUAGCCGGCUCGAUCAUAUCUUGAAAGUGCAUUCUCUCCUGCUACCUCAAUUUUCUCUCUCCAACCUCCACUCAGAACCUGCAAAAUAUGAACCCCAAGUGGAGUCAUUCUAUUUGAUUAUCUUGCCCUAGCAAUCAUGAUUUUCUUAUAGUAAAAGUUCAAUUCUGGUAGAGAUCACAGAUCUUCUAUCCAGAUAUUUCAACUGGAGAUAAAUUUUUCCCUUCAAUUUUUUUCAGUCAUGAUUGUUGCUAUUCAUUCACUAAUUUUGAUUCUAUUGUUUUGAAGAAUUGAAAGUUGUACCUGCUGUACAAGUUCCUCAGGCCCGCAUUUGGCAGCAGCAGUCUGUUCAGAGUCUCGCAUCUCAAGACAUGUGAAAUUAAAAAUUGCAUGAUGCCUUGACAGCAUCCUCGCAAUAGGUCUGUAGCCAUCUCUGUCAUUAAGAUUGUAGUAUCCUGAAGUGAGCUCUGUAGCGUGACUAUCAUCUUUAUACCACCAAUGUAUGCCAGCUACCUGAUUCGUGAUGACAUUUGAUUGAUAAAGUUAUGAUUCUGAAAA